GGGGGGUGUCCUGAGUUCGCUCUAUACCCUUUGUGACAUACCUAUAACUGUUGCUUCGGCGGGUAGGGUCUCCGCGACCCUCCCGGCCUCCCGCCUCCGGGCGGGUCGGCGCCCGCCGGAGGAUAACCAAACUCUGAUUUAACGACGUUUCUUCUGAGUGGUACAAGCAAAUAAUCAAAACUUUUAACAACGGAUCUCUUGGUUCUGGCAUCGAUGAAGAACGCAGCGAAAUGCGAUAAGUAAUGUGAAUUGCAGAAUUCAGUGAAUCAUCGAAUCUUUGAACGCACAUUGCGCCCGCCAGCAUUCUGGCGGGCAUGCCUGUUCGAGCGUCAUUUCAACCCUCAAGCUCUGCUUGGUGUUGGGGCCCUACAGCUGAUGUAGGCCCUCAAAGGUAGUGGCGGACCCUCCCGGAGCCUCCUUUGCGUAGUAACUUUACGUCUCGCACUGGGAUCCGGAGGGACUCUUGCCGUAAAACCCCCCAAUUUUCCAAAGGUUGACCUCGGAUCAGGUAGGAAUACCCGCUGAACUUAAGCAUAUCAAUAAGCGGAGGAA
rnacentral:rRNA from 1 species